rnacentral:rRNA from 1 species
ACGGAACGGGUAGGUAAGUAACUACGGUGGCACCUGCCCAAAAGAGGGGGAUAACACUUGGAAACAGGUGCUAAUACCGCAUAACCAUAGUUACCGCAUGGUAACUAUGUAAAAGGUGGCUAUGCUACCGCUUUUGGAUGGGCCCGCGGCGCAUUAGCUAGUUGGUGGGGUAAAGGCUUACCAAGGCAAUGAUGCGUAGCCGAACUGAGAGGUUGAUCGGCCACAUUGGGACUGAGACACGGCCCAAACUCCUACGGGAGGCAGCAG